AUACUAGUCACACGACUUUACUGACUUCUUUAUUUAACUUUUCCGACCAUAGUGACAGAGAUUGAAGUAAAUAUAAAGGAUGCCGACACACAUAUUAUUGGAAAGUCUUAUCACAGUUGUCCAAUUGAGGCGCGAGCUCAUCCGUCAAAUCUUAAUUAAACGACACAAGCUUCGUGAGAGGAAAGCGUUUGAGUCAUGCGCAGAGUCACACCACUAAACUGAUGAAAGCGGCUGAGGUGGAAGACCUAAAACCUGCAGAUGGCACACAACUCACACAGUAUCUCCGCAUCUGUAGUUAAUCCUCAUAAAUAUAGCACUCAGAACGUCAUCCCUGACCUGAAAUUGAGGGAAGAGAGAGUUGGAUCUGCACUGUGGUGUAGCUGUCUGUGAAGGUGGGGAUUUGAAGAUGACGUAGGCGCGAAAAUAUUCAGGUUCAUGAGUUUGUCCUAGACUCAUCACAGAUGCCAGUGCCACAACGGACCAUAUGUUCCAAGGUCAAAUGAACUGUGACCACACCUCACUGAAACAUCAACACUGCUGACAAUCCUGCGUAGCUUGCAGAAAGAGCCUCAAAAAUCAUUACACCAUCACUCCUCAGUCGAGGAUCAGCCUUUUAAUAUGCAAGCAUGACUGUGAGGUUAAAGCAGAUAAACUAGGCAGUGACCUCAGAUCUUACAGGGAAAACACAACUGCUUUGAGUGAGCAUUUGCAUUGGAUCUCCAAGGGUUACAACACUGUAACCACACAUUUACAUGUCACAUGAGGCUAUUACAGCUUGUAUGCAAAGUAUGUGACUGUCUGCGACAGUUCUACAGUUCAGUAAGGACAUGAGCCAGGUGAUAAUAAAAAUAAUGGGUUUGUCAAAACUAUGGAACUGAACAUAAUGUGUUUAGAGAGUUAAACUUGACAUUUUUGGUGACUUUUGUCAAUUUAGCUAGUAUGCUUUAGAAAAA